GUAGAGUUGCUCAAUUAUGUAGAAAAAUCUGCAUAAUUCACGCCGGGCGCCCAAAAAGGGCGCUGGGUGCCAUUUCCUGCUGUUUUCCAGCAGAAAUUCACGCUGGGCGCCCAUAAAUGGUGUUGGGCGCAGGUUUCUGCUGUUGCUUUUGUUUUUGAUAGUUUGGGGGGUUCUGGACGUCUGUUUUGGACGUUCUUUAGGUC
rnacentral:lncRNA from 1 species